rnacentral:tRNA from 1 species
GGGGUUGUGGCUCAAUGGUAGAGCACUUGCCUAGCGUGGAUGAGGCCCUGAGUUGAAUCCUCAGCACCACA